AGUUAUGCUACGGACCAUUUAAAAUUAAUUACGAUUUUCGAUUCAUUCAAUUAUAUUUCAUUAAAAAUACCCCUCUAGAAAAUUCUUUGGAGACGCCUAUUUAAUCGCCUAGGUGCCUAUUUUCGCAGCGAAGCAAGAGGAAAGCACCGCGCAUGUUUCUAUCGGAUCGAUACGAAUCGAUUUCCGAUAACAUUGAACAGCAGUUGGUCAGGAAACGGCUCGAAGGGCGGAUGGCGCGCCGCGAGUGAGGUUAUUCUCACUUUUAAGUGACGGGAUUGAAACAAAUUUUCGAUGGAAAUCAAAUAAUUAGAAGGAAAUUAAGCGUCAGCUAAUCCCAUCUACAAAACUAGAUAACCAAAGUUAAACAUGUCUUUGGACUUCUUCACAUAACAGAAGUGGAUAUUCCGGCGUGCCUGCCUUGUUUCAAUCCCGUAACUUAGUUAUUUAGUCACACAACGUGACUCUAUCACGUUGAUUAUGUACUACCUAGUUAGAUUGCUAGCCACUCUGUGAUGGUUUAUCCCUAGAGUGGGCUGUUUUUGUUGGAUAAUACACCAUACCGGAUUUUAUUACAACCAGCAUCUUCACCCAGGACCUUGCAGUAGGACUUACUCACCACAGCAGCCAACCAUUUUAUCGUGCCAAAAGGGAAUUUCCUACGGAAUUCAUCUCCAUGGACUUGCAACCCUACUUUUAACCGACUGUUGUGUAAAAGCUAAGUUUAUUUACUUUUUCAUUAUUUACUUUUGGGUAAGAUAUAUUUGCUACAUUGUAAACUUUUCGUAUGCAUACGAUUAGGAAGAGUACAUAUAUUUUCGUGAUAGAUAGGGUUUUAGGUUGUUGUUUUUUUUUUUCUUUUUGAUUCAGUAUAAGUAGGAGUUAGUUAAAAUAAAUAAAAUCAGGUCUUGUUUAAUAAUCAUAAAUAAUUGUAUCUUAAAAUUUAAUAGGGAAUCGGGUUGUAAAAUUUUGUCGCGGAUUUUAAAUAGGGAAUACGUCUCGUAGGUUUUUUUUGUAAAAUAUAUAAAGAGUCACUGACCAACUCAUUUAUAUAGACCUUUUUGCUAUUCCAACGGACUUUUGAUUUGGAUUUUGAUUUUAAUACUUUUGCUUGGCCAGUGAUAGUGGAUAAUUGCUUGUUGAGUGGCCUUUGCGGUCCUAUUUUAUCUUUUCCCCAUCCACUAUCACUGUUAUUACGUUGCGUUAUAUGUAAAGUGUUAUUAUUUAAUAUUUAUUAUUAAUAUAUUUGUAUGUAUUAAGGUUGGUGUUUUAUUUCAGUCUGUAUUACCAGUAUAUAACAUAGCAAGACAAGAUCAGUAUUUAGUAUUUUAUAUUUCAGGUGGUUGUAACCAGUGUCAUAGAGUUCCUGUUGUUCGUUAUUUCAAAAUCUCGAACCUGUCCAACUUCUUGGUUCUGAGAGCCGAGUUGUUCGUUCGAGUUGGCGCCCUUUUUUCUUCUUCUUUCUUUGUUGUAACUCGAUAUUAUUUUAUCUCUAGCAUUCUUAUCUAUUUUCCUUCCAUUUUUGUAUUAACAGUCUCAUUUCCUUCCUAGUUACUAUCAUUUCAUUACCAAAUUUUCUUCUCAUAUCUCCAAAGCCAAUAUUCGGUGUAUUGAAGCUAGCCCGAAUACUCACUUGAGAUUUAGUGUCUCUCUGCCCUUUUGAUUUUUUUUCCUUCUGAGCUAAGCCCCUCUUCUUUUGUCUUAAAUCUCUUAUCAUUUAUUUUACCCAUCUUUAGUCAGUUCUUCUCUUCAAAAAUCUCUAUACCCAGAGUAAAGAGGGUUCAAUUGGCUAGACCCAACGUGUAGCUUCUUUUACAUUUUUGGCUUUAAAAAUAUUUUCUUUAACUUUUGGUUUUAUCUUGGUGGUUUCAGUGCCUGUGUUUUUAGAUUUUCAUUUUAACGUUUAGUUUAUACUUCAAUUUUUUUUUGGACAGUAUCUUGUAUCUAUAUCUUGAAUAAACUUGUUUUGCUAUGGUAUACUGUGUUGACUGAAUGGAUUGCUUUGUUUUGAUUGGUCAAAUAAUUAUUUUGAAUUAAUAAUAAAUAAAUUGAAAAUUUGAAUAUCUUGAAUUUAGCUAUUUUACAAGUCCGGAAUAGCAUUAAAAGUGAAUCACUACCUUGAAUUAAAAGUUUUUUCGAUUUUAGGUUUAUCGGAAGUUGUAGCAGUACAUUUCAACGGAUUUCACGACUGGACCAAACAAAUAAACAUUACUGGUAUAGGUAUCCACUCACAACAUUAACUUGAGGACAGAGAGUAAGUUAAACUUUACCUACUUACAUUUUAUCUCAUUCUCGUGUUUAUUUCCCAGUUGUUUAUAAUGGCAUCGUUAAGGUAUAAAAUCUUUUUAUUUAUUUUGUUUACCUAGUUAACAUCUGUUGUUGUGCCUUUUAUCUUAUUUUAUCUUAUCUUAAUGUUGACUAAUAUCUUAGUUUUGGACUUGUUCAUUUUGCUGUGAGUUGCCUCUUGAAAGUCCAAACUAUAUACCAUAGGAGUACAGGAUGGAUAAUGGGAAUUUUCCCCAUCUUGAAUUCUGGGUUAAAUAAGUAUUUACAGGGAUAAUUGGAAAACACUUUUCAAAAAAAAAAUAUUUUCUUUGAUUUACUUAUGGUCUUAUAUGGUUUCGCGCGGACCAUGCCCAUAAAGCUUAUGUAGUCGCUUUACUGUGUCAGGGUUUAGCGUGGGUUCAGGACUGAUCACCCCGAACUUGUGCACUUCACUUGGCUCAGAAAUACAUUAAUAUCUAUAAGUUGUUCCCAGAGUGUCUCUUAGGUUGAAAUUAGAAUGUGUCAUCUAGAAUUGGAUCGUUCUGAUAUUCAGCAGUAAGUAAGUCUGUUUAACUUGGUUGUCAUCUCCUAUGCUGUUAUCUUUUAAAUGAUUUGAGUUUUAACAUAUCUUUACCUGAAGUGACUUUACCUUUACCUGAAGUGAGUUUACCUUUACCUGAAGUGAGCUUAUCUUUACCUUUACCUGAGGUGAGCUUAUCUUUACCUUUACCUGAAGUGAGUUUAUCUUUACCUGAAGUGACUUUACCUUUACCUGAAGUGAGUUUACCUUUACCUGAAGUGAGCUUAUCUUUACCUUUACCUGAGGUGAGCUUAUCUUUACCUUUACCUGAAGUGAGUUUAUCUUUAUCUUUACCUGAAGUGACUUUACCUUUACCUGAAGUGAGUUUAUCUUUACCUUGAGUUUAUCUCGUACCUUUACCUUGAUGAGUGCAUCUCUUAUCUAUAUCUGAUUGAAUGUAUAUCUUAUCUUUAUCUUGAUUAUUAUAAAGUCCUAAGAAUCUGUCCUUCUCUGUGCUUGUCGUGAGUAAAGAAUUGGAUCACGUCAAUAGUGCAGUUUAGGUAUUACAGUUAGGACCCUAAUUAUAUCUUACCUUUUGUGCAUACCCUCUACCACGAGUAGAUGUGGGCUUGCAAUUAUCUUUACCUUUUAGCAUACUCUAUACCAUGAGUAUAGUGGGCUUGCUAGUAUCUUUACCUAGAUUGUGUCUUCCUAUCACUGCUCAAGAGAGUAGAUGUUAAGGAUUAUCUUUUACCUUGAUUUUUAGUUGUUGGUGAUAUCCAGAACCAUAUCAUUAUUUAUGUUUAGCUUUGUAGUAAUGUAGUUUCAACUAGUCUUGAUGAAUUAGUCCCUCAUUGAAUUCUCGGGUGAUUAGUAGAAUUUGUUCGCUCUAGUAUCAAUGUUGGGUAAAUUUGAUAUGUUGAUUGUUGUGUAUGGUUCUUGGUUAUACUGUGUUAGGUGUUGUUAAUACACACCUGUAAUUUAGAUUUAAUGAUGGGUUACUAACACUUGAGAAUGCAGAUAGUAAGUAGUGUUAAGAGUUGACUUACUCUAUAAGGUUGUAUAAUUAUAUUUAGAAUGUAAGUGAUUAACGUGUAAUUAUUUGUUUUUCUCUAUCUUUGGUUUUACUAAAUUAAAGUAAAUUAUCUUGUUGAAUAACUCAUGUCGGUCAGUUACACAUCCCUUCUAUGUUCUAUACUUUCUGCAAAUAUGAUUAAAUAUAUCUCACGUGGCCUCUAUACUAUGUAUGACUUCGUUCCUGAUUUUUGUUCUGUCCCCUCAGCAAAUAGUAUGACUGUUGAGCCUACCAUCAUUAUGUUUUUAUCCCACAACGUUACUCCUUUACCGUGUCCACCCUCAGGUUCGCCCUAGCGUCAGUUAGUUCUGGAAAAUAAAAAAAAAGGAAACUUGUGGAGUUUUCCUUUUUUUUUGCUGGAGAUAAGGGAGAAUGUAGCAGUUAUGCUACGGACCAUUUAAAAUUAAUUACGAUUUUCGAUUCAUUCAAUUAUAUUUCAUUAAAAAUACCCCUCUAGAAAAUUCUUUGGAGACGCCUAUUUAAUCGCCUAGGUGCCUAUUUUCGCAGCGAAGCAAGAGGAAAGCACCGCGCAUGUUUCUAUCGGAUCGAUACGAAUCGAUUUCCGAUAACAUUGAACAGCAGUUGGUCAGGAAACGGCUCGAAGGGCGGAUGGCGCGCCGCGAGUGAGGUUAUUCUCACUUUUAAGUGACGGGAUUGAAACAAAUUUUCGAUGGAAAUCAAAUAAUUAGAAGGAAAUUAAGCGUCAGCUAAUCCCAUCUACAAAACUAGAUAACCAAAGUUAAACAUGUCUUUGGACUUCUUCACAUAACAGAAGUGGAUAUUCCGGCGUGCCUGCCUUGUUUCAGUAAGUACAUAAUACAUUUAUCUCUCAUUCCUUCGUUGUGAAAUCCAAUGCAUCAUUGUAGUUAGAUCUUUUGUUAGAGUAAUUUACCACAUAAAUUCCAUAUUAUAGCUCAUAUUAUCCUUAAAUAUUUGAAAGGAACAUUCAAUCAAGGCCAUAGUUUUUUCUAGUGUCCAAACCUAAAUUUUAAUAUCUUUUAUACCUGAUCGUUAGGCUUUUUAUUUAAGUUUUUUUAUCUGUGAUUUAUAAAAAGUUUUAACGAGUAUCUAUACAGCCUUCUGUCACGCCCAUCUAAUGCGCACGUCCCUGUCAUGUCUGAAUUGAAGUAAACUUCAGAAAUUUUGACAUGACAUAUGAAUACCUAACCUACCUAAUAUUUGGUGUUUUUGUUUGGGCCUGUUCAAUAUGUACUGCUACUGUUCUUGAAAUACAUCAUAACUAAUUAAAUAAACUUUAUUUUAGAUCCCGUAACUUAGUUAUUUAGUCACACAACGUGACUCUAUCACGUUGAUUAUGUACUACCUAGUUAGAUUGCUAGCCACUCUGUGAUGGUUUAUCCCUAGAGUGGGCUGUUUUUGUUGGAUAAUACACCAUACCGGAUUUUAUUACAACCAGCAUCUUCACCCAGGACCUUGCAGUAGGACUUACUCACCACAGCAGCCAACCAUUUUAUCGUGCCAAAAGGGAAUUUCCUACGGAAUUCAUCUCCAUGGACUUGCAACCCUACUUUUAACCGACUGUUGUGUAAAAGCUAAGUUUAUUUACUUUUUCAUUAUUUACUUUUGGGUAAGAUAUAUUUGCUACAUUGUAAACUUUUCGUAUGCAUACGAUUAGGAAGAGUACAUAUAUUUUCGUGAUAGAUAGGGUUUUAGGUUGUUGUUUUUUUUUCUUUUUGAUUCAGUAUAAGUAGGAGUUAGUUAAAAUAAAUAAAAUCAGGUCUUGUUUAAUAAUCAUAAAUAAUUGUAUCUUAAAAUUUAAUAGGGAAUCGGGUUGUAAAAUUUUGUCGCGGAUUUUAAAUAGGGAAUACGUCUCGUAGGUUUUUUUUGUAAAAUAUAUAAAGAGUCACUGACCAACUCAUUUAUAUAGACCUUUUUGCUAUUCCAACGGACUUUUGAUUUGGAUUUUGAUUUUAAUACUUUUGCUUGGCCAGUGAUAGUGGAUAAUUGCUUGUUGAGUGGCCUUUGCGGUCCUAUUUUAUCUUUUCCCCAUCCACUAUCACUGUUAUUACGUUGCGUUAUAUGUAAAGUGUUAUUAUUUAAUAUUUAUUAUUAAUAUAUUUGUAUGUAUUAA